ACGACCUGCAGAUCCCAACACUCCAGGAUGGUGCAGGACAUCAGUCUCAAGGUAAUUGGUCACAGAGGCAUCUUCCUUCAUGUUCUCUGGGGGAGAGACUGACUGUGGGAAUCAGCCUUGGUUGCAAAGGGAAGCUGAGAGAAGAGAGCAGCGCAGGGCACGGACAUGCCAGCCCAGUUACUGGAGAUAUCUGCCGCUGGAGACGGGUUCAGAGCCUAGUUUAAUAUCCCGAAGAGACACAGGGUUUGCAAAAUUUCCUGCAAGUGAUAGCCUGAUGGUGGAGGCUCGGUGUCCAGGCAGGUCACGACAAGGUGGAGGGACUAGCCUAUUCCCAGAACAGCCUCGCAUCAGCACAACACAAGGAUCAAGACGUCGCCAAGUUAAGCUGGAGGGAGAAGAGCCCAGCCUGAGGCUCCCAGCCGGCUGUGUUUGAGAGGAUCACAGAAGCAGGUGGAGGGAGGGCCAGGGAGCCCAGAACGACCGGCCAAACAGGAAAAGACGAAGCCAGCUGUUUAAACGGCAAUGACCUCAGGGCGAAUUAUUUUCUGGCAAUUAACCAUGGACUGGAGGCAGCUCAGAGGUGCAGCUGCCUGGCCUGUUUGUGCAAACCAGAGGAUGUGAAUUUGGAAGCCUCAAGCCAUUCCUGUAACAAGAUGUCAUUGUCGGAAGGCUGAAGGUGACCUCUACCCCUCCUGGCCCCAGCCCAGGGCUCACACCCUGGGCUAUCCAGCCGCAGCUAUGGUGGAGGUUGGGACUCAGCCAUUCCACUGGGAGCAGCUCUACAGUGAGGACAAGAGGAUGAGCUCUGGCCAGUUUCUGAUACUAACAUACAUUCCUGACCCGGGGGGCUGGGAGCAGAGAAGAGGACCAGGGCUGGGGUAAGGAGAGCUGUAGAUGCGAUGGAGUGAGGGUUAAGUUGGAAGAGGCAGGGAGGGAGCAAACUGGAUGCUGGGGAAGCAGGAGGUAUUCUACAAGCACAUCAAGGAAAUGCAGCUGAGCAGUUGCACUUGCUCACACCUGUAAGCCCAGCAACUUGGAGCUGAGGCAGGAGAACUGCUUGAGUCCAGGAGUUUGAGACCAGCCUGGACAAUAUAGCAAGACCUGUUUCUCAAAAAAUAAAAUAGGAAAAAAAGAGAAAAUGUGGCUGAGGCCAUCCAAAGCGCCAGCCCAAAUGUUGGGGUCUAAGAGGAACGUGUGUGUGUGUGUGUGUGUGUGUGUGUGUGUGUGGUGGGGGGUGGGCCUGGAAGGAGAACAGAAUUCCAGAACUACACGCCCAAGACAGGCGUCCACUGAGCUUCAAGCUGGGACUAUUAAGAACUUAGUUGGAAUGGGCUGAGUCAGGGCAGCACCCAGAGAGGGCAGCAGGGCCUGGCCAGCAGGCUGGGGGGAUGGGGGCCAGGUGCCCCAUGGGGAGACACAGAGCAGGGGACUCAGAGGAUGCUCAGUGGAUUCAGGUAUAGGGAGGUGACCAAUUGCCACUUCUUCCCAGCCCCCCCUGGAAAGCACUAGACAUUCCCGUGGCUGUCUUCUUACAGGCUUUGGACAGAGAUGGUGCAGCCUGCAGAUACCUGUGCACACAGGUGGACAGAAGGGACUGUGCAGGUGGUGAAGGUGGGAUAAGAGCAGUGGCAAGGGCCCCAGGGCAGGACUAGUGGUGUGUCCCUCGCAGUGAUAAUUCAUCCUAGGACAAAAGUGGCUAUGGGGGGUAGGGAAGGCUACCAAGAACAAGAGUGAGGAGAUACCAAGAACAGGGCAGCCUAAAGGUUAGGAAAAGUCCUGAGGCCCAGAGAGGUCAGAGCCUCUGACCAAAUCCAAACACAAAUUCAAACCACCUGCACGGUCCUUUACCUUUUAAUGCAGGCACCUGGUGUUCCUCGCUAGACUCCAAGCCUAGAACUGGGCCACAGUCCCGUUCUUCCUCUCCCCUUCUCACCCUGUGUUUUGCCCAGCAGAGCAGGAAAGCUGAGAAUGUGCUGGAAAUGCUUGUUGAGGCCGACGUGUCAGGCAGCCCAUCAGUGCAGGAUGGAGCCUCGGUUGCAGAGAACUGCAGGGAGGUGGUGUGGAAGCUCAUUGGCUGUAAGAACUGCUCCGCUGCGACAGUGCUGCUGGAGGUGGUGGUGAACAGAUUUCUGAUGCCAAGCUGAUCAUCGUCUCAGCACCAGCAAAGACAUGCUAUUCCCGUCCCUGACGAGCAUUUCCUUCUUGAGAAAGUGAUUUUGAGGGGCUGCAGAUGUACUUGGAGGAAGGUUUGGGCCGGGACAGAUGACGUGCCCAUGUGGGAGCUGGACGGCCCCUCUCUGGGUAGCUCCCUGGGAACUCCCAUGUCCGCCUCCCGCUGCCUCCUGAUCCAAGGUGGAUGCACUUCAUUUGAGGCCUGGUCUUUCGUCCUUCCCUCUCCUCUUCGGGGACCACUUUGUCUAGUGCUAGACUCAUUGUGCUUCCCCCUUGGGGCUUCCUUCAGCCCUCAGCCGAUUCAAGACUUCAAAAGGAAGUUGGACAUGGAGAGGAAAAAAGAAAUGAAACCAGGAAGGAACCGCCAAGAAGCACACAACGCGUUUAUGCUGCCUUAACCACACGCUUGACUCUAAAUGGGUUUAAAAAUUCUUACUUGUGUUAGCCCAAGAAAGUUUCUGCAGCCGUCUUUUUGGUUUAAACAAUCAAAUACUCAAUAAUUCUGGGGCUGGUGGGCCAGGAUAUGGGUUACUCAGAUCUUCUGCUUCACCCCAUGCUCGGUCCCUGAGCCAGUUCUGUCAUUGGUUCUUUCAGACCAGGGCAGGAAAAGUCAAGAAAGCAAAAGCGGAUUCUAGGCUGUGGGGUUUGCUGUUUGCUAGCCCCCUGGCAGAGAUGCCUGUCCUUGCAGUCCUGAACUGGUGGCCAAGUGUGCAUGCAUGCACGUGCAGGUGUGUGCAUGUGCAGGUGUGCAUGCGUGUAUGUGCGCACACACAUUCAUGCUUGUACAUGUUUGUGUACACGCACACUUUUUUCUGCUUUCAAUUUCAAGCUGUUGCCUCCCUGAUGUGUCUGUUUAGUGACUUGAGCCAGAAAGAUUCCCGGUUCUAUGUGGGAUGAGAAUGAACGCAGGCAGGUCUCCACAGAAGUGAGUAAAGUAGAGCUGAGAAGAAGGACAUUGUCUCAUGCCAGCCUGUCCAAUAGCCACUUUGCCCCAGCCCUGCCUCAAGCCCCAGAGAGAUGACAAGGCUCUCUCUGUUUGUCGACUCCUUGAAGCUCAGAAAGGUGGGUCAAGAGGUGCCCGUCAAGCGUUUAGGCAAGCACAGGACCCUGAUCUUUACUAAGUCUCCACAUCUCUCUUGCACAGCCCUGGGCUCAGGGCUUGGUCCCCUCUGGGCAGGCCAUCCAGACUAAGUGACAGUCAGAUUGUGUGUGGGGAGGCUAGAGACAUCCAUUCUUCAUGGAUCAGCCUGAAUGGCUGGACAGAUCUUGCAAAUGGAUUGUGUAAGACAGAGUGUGGAAGAGGAGGCUGUGAUCAGUGGCUUGGAGAGCAGAGUGUGGUCAGGCGCUAAACCUAAGGCUUUUCUGGGAAGAGCUGUUAAGAUUAGACUGUUCUCCCAAAAAGCCAAUAAUUCUGAGUGUCUCCAUUAAUGCCUAGGUAGCCCAUACUCUCACCCAGCCGGUGCCCUUCAGCCUGGAACCUUUGGAUGGAGGAUUGGACCUUGUGACCUUCAAGUUCCCUUCCGAACCAAAUAUGCUCUAACCCAGGAGAUGGUGCUGUUGCCCAGGAAGCCGGUCACCAUGACGAGAGUACCCGCUCAGAUGAGGAUGCAGGCGGAGGCGGUGAAGGUGCUGGAGGCCAGGAUGCUGAGGUAGCUGCUCCUCUCCACCAGGGUCCAGAUGCCCAUGGCCAGGACAGCUGCCCCCCUGACCUGCAGGAGACCACCAGGUUGGAGCAGGGGGUGGCGGGGGCCUCAGGAGCUGCCAUUCCUUGAGUGCCCGCUGGGUACCAGGCACUUCUCGUGCAUUGUCUUAUUCAAUUUAGGCCUCCUAAGAGCCUGUGAGAACAGUGUGGUGGCCUAGCUUUACAGAUGAGGAAACGGAGGCUGAGAGAGGUUUGCAGGCUUGUCCAAGGUCACACAUGUAAGCGAGCUGCAGAUUUUGAAUCUGGGUCUGACUUCUGAUUCUGUGCAUCUUACUAUGGUUCCUACUGCAUAUGAGGCGGGGAGAAAUGACUUCAGUUUUGGGGAUGACUAAUAUACCUGAGUCCCUUCGCCUCCCCUCCCCUCAGAGCGCUCCCUCCCUCUGUCCACGUUUCCCUGAUGGAUGUGGAGGUGCCAUUUUGAGCACCUCCCCUUGUUCAAUCCUUAUAUUUGCCCAUUGGGGAAGCACGGCUGGGCCCCUUAUCCCUCCCUGUUCUACAGAGGAAGGAACUGAGGCCCAUGGAGGAGAGGUAAAUGGCCCGAGUUAGGGGCAGGGCCAGGACCAGGACUCAGAGCCCAGGGCCUGCUUGCUCAGUCUCGCUGCCUCCAUGAUGGAAGGGCCACUGUGCUGGACAAGUUGGAGCUCCCUGGGACCACAGGAGGAGGGAGGAGAGCCUUCUUUGCUGUCUGACUCCCUUUCAGUCCUGAGAGGGGGCAGGGACGGGACACUGCUGAUUUGCAGGUCUGGGGGAUGCCUUCUUGGAAAUAGAGUACCUGGGAAAUGUAGCUGGGGUGGUGGGGCUUGACUGUUCUUUCCUGCCAUGAAGCUGAGGAGCCUUUUAGUGACUGUUAUCCUCAGCAGAGCAUAGUGGGUGGGUGCAAGUGUCCUCAAGGUGCCAGAUGGGGGCUGUUUGGAGUGUUUUCCCAGGAUUUGGGUCCUCUGGGACCUCUGACCAUCUCUGUCAUUUGCUCCUGGGAAGGUGGACUUCUGUCUCCCAGUCUCUCUGCCCGCCAUUUAGGGACGGGUCCAUUUCCUCUGAUGGUCAGUAGAUGCUUCCUCAAGGGGUCUUGGGUGUAGCCAAAGCUAGAGAAGCCCUCCCGGGCUCUGUUCACAUCCCCUGAUGCUUUUCCCUGCAAGUUGUCUCCCGUCUGCCCCAGGAAGACUCUCUGUAUAACCUAACCUGUCACUUCCCAGUUCUCUGUUCCGGGGAGUCGCAGACCUUGGCUGAGUAAAUGGAAGGUGGUUCUUAGCAAUGAACAGGCACCUACAUUACUCAACUCGCAAGUAUUUUACCAUUUUGCCAUUUUCUCUUCUGAGCUUUGCAACAGCUCUGUGAGGAUGGGGCCGGGCAGGAGGGGCCAGGCUAUCCCUGUCUUGCAGAUAAGAAAAUUGAGGCUUGGAGAGAAUAAGAAUGUGCCCAAGAUGACACCAUCAGAGGGUCAGAAUUGAGGUGCAAACCCAGUUAUUUGAGGGCAAAUCCAGGCCUCUGUCCUUGGAUCCCCCAGAGUAGGCUGGGCCUGCUUCUCUCUUACUUCUACGUUUUUAAUAGACAUGAUUUCUUCAAAGUGCCAUUUUAUCUCCAUAGGUACCUCCAGACACCACCCAGGCUGCAGCAAAUGGAAUGGGAGAGGCUAACACACCAUAAUUUUUCAAUUCCAUGAUGCCCAUUUUUUCUCACAUUUUAACGUCUCUAAAAUUGGGGCACAUCUUAUGAUUGAUGGCAUCUUACAAUUACACUUGGCAGUACUUUUUCUUGGUGAUACAAAAAAACAACAGUGUAUCUUACAACUGAUAGCUUAGAUUCAGUGAAAUCCUAGAAUACAACAGGUUUGAAAAUUCUCUGUGGGUGAGUGUUAUCUGUGGCCCAUACAACCUCCAUGACCAGUGAGGGAUUUCCUGAGUCUGGGUUCCAGCAAAAUAUCCUGGACAGAAUUCUUUUUGACCCUCUACAGCAUGCCUGGAAGGCUUGGGCACGGGUCCCAACUGUGUAUAACUAGCUCCGUGACCUAAAGAGAGUCCCUGAACCUCUCCAGACCUCAGUUUCUUCACCUCUCGAAGAAGGGAGUGAGUUAUAUUAGACCAGUAGUUCCCAGCCUGUAACUACCAAGGACCGUUUGAUUAUUUUUUCCCAUGGGUUUUAUGUUUUGAGGGCUUUUGCCUAUCAACGUGCAUUAAUUAAGUAAUAAUUCACUUCUCAUUUUUUAUUAAUCAAAGGCACAUAUAGUGCCAGGAAGAGAUUCUGAACAGCAUGAGACAGUCAACUUGACCACACUGAGUUGAUCUAACUCCAGCAAAAGGCCAAGAAUCUUGGCUUUUCAUGAGAAUAGCCUCUUUAUAGAAAUAUGCACAUUAUCUGUGAUCUGUUAGGCUUCUUAAGCCUGUCCCUCAAACCAGAGUGGGGGCUGAGCAUAUGGCUCUGGGGCCACCAAAAGACAUAUGUUUGGACUGGUCUGGGGACCAUCUGUUGGGAGACACAGAACCUCACUGAAAGCCUGAUGAAAAGCUUUGCAUCCUUUGCCCAGAGAAAUGGUCAUUCACACAAAACAAUACCCUUGGGGCCAGGGGCUGAAGUCUAUUUUGCACUACCUAAUGACCUGUGGCCUUUAUGGUCUGUAGGCCUCCUGCACCCCUAUGGUGCCCUAAGACCUGGCUGUACAAUCACCUGGGGAGCUUUGAAAAACCCAGGCCCCCCUGCAGGCCCAUCCGUGUCUGUGGGAGUGGGACCCAGCCAUGAAUUUUUUAUGAAGUUCCUGGGUGAUCCCAGCUGAGAACCAUUGCCCAGAAUUAACGAAUGGGGUCCAGGUGUCCUGCCCUCCUCUUCCCAGUUGGUGACGCUGUGCUGAGCCUCGCAGAACACAGCGGCUUCCCGGUCGCUCAGUCCCAGGAGGGGCCCCUUGAAGCUCCAGGUUCCCUCCCCUGGGAGGAGUUGCCUGGAGGGCUACUGAGAUUUGUUCAGGACCUGAACCCCAUCCUUUCCUUCCGUGUGUUUGUUAGGGUGUUUGCUUUGGCAGAAGCUUUAAGGUAGAAAGUGGGGUAAUCCUGAGGAACAGAAUUUUCAUCUAAAGGGGCAAAAAUCAGAUUAUGCAAGAAAGGAAAAAACCAUGGCUCCCAGGGGAGUCGGAGGCUAUGAGAAAUGCAGCCCCGGAGAGGAGCAGUGUGGAUCUGGCCGACGGAGGCCUGCUCUCUGCCAGGGCACCUGCAGGCCACACAAAUGGGGCUGGGAUCUUGCAAAGCUUGCAAAGUGACGCCGGAUCCUGGGCCACGGGGCAGGGUCUGGAAGGGGUCUGGAGGGACACAUUUCCCUGAUUCAGGUCUAGAGAACAACAAAUCCACAUGCAUUGCUGUCCAGAAGAAAUCAGGAGAUGAGUCUGGGUCAACGGGGCCUGGUUAUACUUAGCCAGGGGUCUGCAGGAGCCAGAGUGCUGCAAGUCCUCCGGGAAGCUCCUGCCGGGGACGUGGUCAGCUCUUUAGAAAGCAAGCUUUCCUCUGAGCAAGGGAAGGAAAACUGCUCACUGUUGGAAUGGGUCACCAGAGGGUGCCACGGGAGGGCGGAAGUCAGCAGGUCUGCAUGCCAGUCCUGGCCGUGCCCUUGACUGGGUAUGUGACUGUGGACAGACAGUUGGCCUCUCAAAGCCUUAGUUUCUUCAUCUGCAAAUUGGGGGCACUGGAUGGGAAUAUCUCUGAGGUCCCUUCCACAUGGUUAAACUGUCCCUGUUAGUAUUGGGCAACAGUGUUCUGCCAAGACACCACCAGCAAGAUGCUUCUGGACCAGCGGCUCAUGGCUGUCACUCAAACCACUUGGAAACUGCCCAGUUCAACAGAAAGCAGUGGAAGACUGGUGGGGCAGGGAGAGCGCUGACCCCAGUGAGCGGUUUUAACAACCAUUGGCGUAGAGUUGAUUCAACAGUAUUUGGCUCUUUGUAGAAACUGGGUUGGUUUUCUGUGGAGUAUUAACUGCAUUUCUCAAAACCAUAGCCUGUGGCCGAUUAGCCAGCAAACCCUGCAUAGGGUGAAGUCAGGCAAUGAGGACGUGAGCAGACCAGUAAGGGCAGAGCAGGUCACCCAUGCCGUGUAAUUUUAGGAACUUCUCAUUUAUAGGAGAGAAACAUUGCCAAAGUGUGGCCCACGUCAUCAUGGGGAGAAGCGUUAGCUUGAACUGCCACACAUGCCUGGGGCUGGAUAGAAAUAAGGCAGCAGGCUUGAAGGAAAGCAGGCAGUGGCGUAACAGUAAAUGUAGGAUUUUUCUUUGUCCUGCUAGCUAGGGCUUCUGUGUUGACAGCUGGGGGGAGGAUGGGGUGGGGCAGGAGCCAGGACCAUGGGACGCCCAGUAAAGAAGGAUCCCCCGGGCAGGGGAGUUCUCUACCUUCGGUGCUGGGGUUGGGUGGGGGAGCCCAUGGCAUGGGAGGCAGAAAUGCACUGGCUGACAGUAUAGUUCAUUUGUUUGAUGUUUGCUACUAGGAACCAAGCAUCACGCUGGACUGAAAAGGUUUUUGGCCUGGACAGGAGUUCCCCCACUGGGAACCACACACAUCAUCCGUGUCUCUCCUUCCAGGUCGGUCUGGUCAAUGGCACCAUCACCCACCCACCCUAGACCAGACUAGACACCUCAGGGUCAUUAUUGACUCCUUCCUCUCCGCUCAAUGACAGCCAGUUCUCCUCUGCUCUCAAACCUGUCUCCAUCUCCCCACCGUCAGCUCCCAGCUCCUGCUCUACCUGCAGGCUGGCAGGCUGUGCCCCAAGGCACUCCCUGCUGAGCAAUCCCCACAGGCUCCAACAGCCAGAGCCCCAAGCCCAGACUCUUUUGCAUGGCCUCAGGGCUCUUACGUGUCUGGCCUUAACCUAUUUUUGGCUUUAUCUUCUGCUACUUUCCUUCCUCCGUACCUGGGCUUUAAUCACCAUGAACAAAGUAGUUGCUUUUCUUGUAAACAUUGUAGAUACCCAUUAACUAUGGCAGCAAUAGUAGAGUGGUAAAGAGGGUGAACUCUGGGGUGAAGUACCGGUGUCCGAGUCCAAGCCCCUCUGUUUACGGCUGUGUGGAUUUGGAUAGGUUACCAAACUCUGGGCCUCUGAGAGGCUCUCUCCUGUCCCUUCCCAACCUGCUCACAUUGUUCUCUUUGCCGUUCCUUUUCCACUGAAUUCCUACUCACCCAUGAAGCCCCAUCUCCAGUGCGGCACCUGCUCUGACUCUGCUGGGCAGGUGAGCUUGUCCCUCUCGUGCACACCUGUGGCACUGCUCCCCUCACAGCAGCCCUCGGCCCGGGGGUGGGAGACUCCCCCGACUCCCCUCAGAACCCCGGGCCCAGCAAACCACCUGGCACCUGGCAGCCGCCCACAUGAGCAUGGGACUCCACGAACGGGGCUUUGUAGGGGGCUUUGGAAAUAGCGGCAUCUGCUCCCCUCACCCGUCUGUCUGCUGAGCUCCUGAGGCAACAACGAGUAUCCCCCUUCCCUGUUUUAUGGCCGUUUUUAUUUUUGGAGGGGCAGUCUGCAAAGUGCCAGCAGUCCCCGAGGGCAAUGGACUUUCCUCCAGGUCAUUAGGAAGAAGCCCCUGGAAAGGAUCUUCAUGCCAGACCAAUGCUUGGCUAUUCUCGUUCUUUCUUUCAACCCACACCCACUGUGCACUUGCUAUGAGGACGCCAGGCUCUCAGGCCAUAGUGGGGUCCACACCUGUCACUUCACCUGCCCUCAUGUCGCAGGCCAGUGACUAGAUGGGAAGGCCCAGCAAUCACCAGGGUGAUUUCCAUUAGAAAGAGAGGAGAAUGGGUCUAAUUUCAGGGAGGGGGGCUGGCAAACACAGCCUGGGGGCUCAGGAGAGGACUGGGAGGCCAUGUCUGAGCAAGGCUCGGUUGCUUGUAAAGAAUGGUACCCCGUUCCCACAUCAGAAGAGUCAGCUGAACCCCGGGCUGCAGUCCCAAUAGUGCACUGCUGAGCCUGGCGCUCACCUGCAGGGUAGAUGGCACCUCAGUGCCACACCUGAGCCUCUGAGCUCUCCAGGAGGGCAUAGGCAGGCAUGUAUCAGGCACCACUGCUCACCCUGCUCGUGAGUGACGUUUUUCUGAGCACCAGGCAAGCACUUCUCCCCGGCUCUGUCCAUGCUGCCAUUGCCUUGGUUUGACUGAAUCUUCAAGGACAGGCUUGUCAUGCUAAGGGCCAUUUUCCACUUUGAGGCAUUCUUUUCUUGGUUCUCUGGUUUUAAAGAGCACUUGAUAAAAUAAAUCAGAGCACUGCUUCCCCCUCUGUCUUCCCCAUCCCAUCUACCCUUAUAACAAGAGCAGAAUCUCAUGGGGCAUACCGAGGGGUGGAGCUGGAAAGGAACAUAAAAUCACCUUCCAAACCCAGCUCAGUAUCCAAGGGAAACCUUCCUUGGAGCUGUCUCUCCCCACUCCUCAGCAAACCAUUCUGUCCUCUGUACCAGCUCCAUGUCUUGCCCAUGUUUUUGUAAUUAUACUCAUCACUGCCUAUUUGUUUUAUUUGCUACCUUGUGUGUCCUCUUUUAGCCUCUUGAUAAAACCUUAUUCAUCUUGGUGUCUCCAAUGGAGUCCUACAUGUGGGAGGGAAGAAAGAAGGAAGAAAGGAAGGGAGGGAGGAAGGAAGGGAGGAGGGAAUCGAGUUCAACCCCUUUUAUAUUCUGGAGGGAGAAACUAAGGCCCAGAGAAAAGUGACUUUUCCACAGUCACACAACUAGCCAGGGGAAGCAUGGAGCUAGAACUCAAGAAUCCUAAUGCUCAGUUUAGUGUCCAUUUUACCAAUUGGGCUGCUGACCCACACGAAGCUGCUUGGCCCAGGAAGCAAGUUGUGCGGUGCCUGGGCUACAGUAGAUCUAGAGUCCCUGAGCUGCAGAUGGGCAGCUAGGAGGGGUGACCACAGCUUCAUCCUGACUUGUCUCACUCACCAUGGCCCCGAGCAGACCAAAUGCACAUCCCUCUUGAUAUGGUUUGGCUGUGUCCCCACCCAAAUCUCAUCUUGAAUUGUAGUUCCCAUAAUCCCCACAUGUCGUGGGUGGGACCUGGUGGGAGGUAAUUGAAUCAUGGGGGCGGGUCCCCCAUGCUGUUCUCAUGAGUGAGUUCUCAUGAGAUCUGAUGGUUUUGUAAGGGGCUUUCCCCCCUUUGCUUGGCACUUCUCUCUCUCCUGCCACCUUGUUUGCUUCCCCUUCCACCAUGAUUGUAAGUUUCCUGAGGCCUCACCAGCCAUGCUGAACCAUGAGUCAGUUAAACCUCUCUCCUUUAUAAAUAACCCAGUCUUGUGUAUUUCUUCAUAGCAGCAUGAGAAUGGACUAAUACACCCCUCAGCCAUGGCCCUGUCCCCCAGCAGAUCCUGACAGCCAAGAGGGGUAGAGGUGCCCCGAAAGCCGUGGGGAGUCCCAUGCCAUUCAGCAUCUCAAGAAGCGGUGCAGCAGAGAAACCAGCUACGAGGUCCCUCACCUGUUUUUCCUCAAAUGGCAAGCCCAGGAAGGGGGCAGAGGCCACGUUCAGUGGGGUGAUGCUGUCCGAGGUGAAGGGCUUUCUAGCUCUGGCAAAGAGGUGAGCAGAAGGCCCCACCAGGGCCUCCCUAGAUCCUGAAGUGAUGCUCCCAAGCCACCUCAUUCCCCUGCCAGGCUCGGUCCUCCAUCUUCUCUGCCACCUGUCUUGGUCCCAUGCCUCCUUUAAGGGCUCCCAAGCUUCCCUGUAGGCUGAGCCCUCCUGGCGGCCUGGGAAGGAGCAAGGUCUCCGCUUCAGGAGCAGAGGCAGCCUCUCCAGUCACGGAGUGCUUCCCAUUGCCUGGCAGAGCUCCUGGGAGGCUGGAAAAGUUUUGAUUAUGAACACAGCCAAGCAGCUAAUUAAAAUAAUAAAUUAGAGAAAAACAUUGCAGGGGUAAUGGUAGCUGCAGGGAGCCGUGGAGGAAAAGGGAGGGGAAAGAAACACAUCUUCUAGGUGGCCGCCUAGGAAAGCCUGGGCCACAUUUUCUUUUUAGGGCCAUGAAAGAGGCAUGAAAGUGUGGCAUUUUGGUUCCUCCUCUGCUCAGCAGGAUCAUCCCAUAAUGAUUAUGGCUUAACUGAAACCCUAGGUGGGGUGGGGCGGUGGGAGUCAGAGAUAGGGUGACGGGGAAGAAUUGCCACCUGAAUCCUGCUUCGUGUUUUGCAAACUUUGGAAUGUGACCCAUUUGGGUGAUAAAAUAAAUUUAGUGGGUUGUAACCUGCACUAAAAAAAGUGAGCUAAAAUAGUAGAGAAAAUAUCAGCAUGCAUCUGUAUUAGGAUUUUCUAGAUGGGUAGAACUAAUAGAAUCUACGUAUAUAUGAAAGGGUGUUUAUUAAGGAGAAUCGACUCACAGGAUCACAAGGUAAAGUCCCACAAUAGGUCGUCUGCAAGUUGAGGAGCAAGGAAGCCAGUGGUGGAUCAGUCCGAGUCCCGAAACCUCAAAAGUAGGGAAGCCGACAUUGCAGACUUCAGGCUGUGUCCAAAGGCCCAAAAGCCCCUGGCAAACUACUGGUGUAAGUCCAAGUGUCCAAAAGCUGAAGAACUUGGAGUCUCAUGUUCGAGGGCAGGAAGCAUCCAGCAUGGAAGAAAGAUGAAGGCCAGAAGACUCAGCAAGUCAAGUCCUUCCAUGUUCUUCUGCCUGUUUUAUUCUAGCCAUGUUGGCUGCUGAUUAGACGGUGCCCACCCACAUUGAGGGUGGGUCUGCCUGCCCCAGUCCACUGACUCAAAUGUUAAUCUCCUUUGGCAACACCCUCACAGACGCACCCAGGAAAAAUACUUCACAUCCUUCAAUCCAAUCAAGUUGACACUCAGUGUUAACCAUCACAGCAUCAUAUACCGUAAGGUCUCUGGUUUCAAUGAAGAGCUCUACCAUCCAUCAGGAGAUUCAUAUCCCAGGCACCUCUUCCAGCCAAAGGAAUCUCUUCUUGUCAAUUUCACCUCCUAAGUCCCUUGACUCCAAGUAUUUCUGUCCCCGCUGUCAUCCCCACAGUGCAGGUCAUGACCAUCUCUCACUUUGAUCGGUGCGAAGUCUAGAGGAAGUGUCAACAGUGGCCAUUCCUGGGAUGGCCAGUGGUAUGGGUUGGACUGUGUCCCCCCAAAUAUAUGUUGAAAUCCUAACCACCGGAACUGUGAACAUGGCCUUAUUUGGAAAUAAGAUCUUUGCAGAUGUAGUCAAGUUACAAUGAGGUCAGAAGGGUGGGCCCUAAUCCAACAUGACUGGCGUCCUUGGAAGAGGAAGACGUCACGCGAAGACAGAGACACACAGGAGAGCAGCAUGUGACAGCAGAGGCCUUAGAGAUUGGAGGGAGGCAGCUGCAAGUCAAGGAGUGCUGAGAAUUGCCAGCCACUCUCAGAAGCUGGAAGAGGUGAUAAAGGGUCCCUCCCCUAGAAGCUCCAGAGGAAGCACAGCCCUGCUGAUGCCCUGAUUUUGGACUUGUAGCCUCCAGAACUGUGAGAGAGUGAAUUUCUGUUGCUUAAAGCUAUCCAGUCUAUGGCACUUUGCUACAGCAGCCCUGGGAAGCUAACAUAGGGAGAUAAGGACAAUUUUCAUUUUCUUAGCAUACUUUUCAGUAUUUUAGAGGUGAUCUGUAGUGGAUACACAAGACUUUUAUGAUUAGGAAAAACAUAGUCAUUCUUAAAAAGAAGUGCUCAUCAGUAGGAAUCCUAAGCGUCCUAUUGGAUUUGUCCCUGAGAAUUGAAGCCAUCUAUGCCACACAGUUUACUGUCCUCAUCAACACAGCUUUUUUAUUCCACAGGAGACUCUUGCCCAGGAAGAUAAAAGCUGAACAUAAUUUUAUUGUUCAUUUCGGGGACUUUGCAAAUAACAUUUACACAAACAGCAGAUUGUACAACUUUUUAAUAGCAUCUAAUGACUGUCUUUUCACCAAGACUCUUCAAAAACUCUUGCCUUGCCAUGUCUUCCCAUCCCAAACUCCUAGGUCAUGGCUCUUCCCAAUCUUAAUCAAGUCCCUGCAGGAAAGAUGCUCAAAACUCAGACAUAUCCCAUUUGCAUUUGGUUUUCUGAGAUGAUUCUAAGACUCUGUAAAGGGUCUUCUCCCUUACCAUGGUAGCAGGAAACCUGGCUGCCUUAUCUGAGGGUUGAUUUGGUGGUAUUUUCAGGCAUUUGACAUCUGAUAUUCAAAAUAUUGCAUUUAUGGAAUGCAACCCCAAUCAUCCCUGAAUUGUAGCCAGGGAAACAGGCUCCUCGAACUUCAGUUGCUCAAGGCCACACCAUUAGUAGCUGGCAGAGCCUAGGUCCAGCUGCCUGCAAAGCCUGCACUCUUACCCUUCUCCUACUUUCCCAAAUUUAGUGAGACUGUAAUACAAAAUACUUAUAUUCUGGUGUCUGGCUAUUUUUGGGUGGUAUUCGGCUCCCAAUUGUCCAGAUAAUGGCCCCAAGCGGACAGGCUAUGGUCCUCAGGAAGACAUCACCCAGGCAGGUUUCCUGCGGGGAGUCACCAUAGAGACCAUUUCCAUCACAGGCAGCAGCAGCCUGAGCUUCCGGGACUUCUGUUUCCCUGCCCUGGGCCUGGAGAAUGUUAACCAUGAAAGGCAAAUGGGCUUCGGUUGGAAACAAGCCAUUAUUAGCCACUAUUUCAGGCAGUCACAUUUCCCACAAGGCACUUGUGCAACAAGUUAGCAGGGAAGAAAGAAGCCGAGCCUUUGUACGGCGGGGCCAGAACACAAAGCUCAUUGUGAUGUUUGUGCUUCUAUUCAGACGCCACGUGGUACGGACUCCACGCCAACCUGCAGACUGGAUUCUUUUCUUCCCCCUCAGUAACAAACAUACACAUUUGCUUUAAAGUAGGCAGAAUUUGCCCAUGGGUGGUCUUUGAUUUGGAAGAAAUCAACUUCAAAGUGGUGACUCACAAAAAACAAAGGUGGCUUGACUCAUUCAGUGCUCGGGAAAGGGGAUGUGUGUGCAGAAUUCACUCAUCCAGAAGCAGAAGUUGAAGACAAGGAGUAAAUACUUCAGGUAGACAAUCAGCCAGUCAUCCUGCUUGGUCUUGUAAUGGGCCAUGGCUGCUGAGUCUAGAGAAGGCACACAGGCUGGGCUGGGGAAUUACCGAGAGCCACCUCACCCCUCCAGGAGCCAGGGCGCCUCAGCCAGGUUCCCUUUGAAGGGCUUAUUUGCCUGUCUUGCCAGGGAUCUUUGAGGCUGUGGGUGUGCAGCAUAGAGUAAAGAUCAGGGAAUCGCAAAGGCUACUGGAUGCCUUAGUGGAGGUGAAUUUGGGCAGAAUUUUCCAGACCUUCAGGUGCCGGUUUUGUUCUCUUGACAAAGGUCUAACCCACAAAUCUUCCACAGAUUUCCCUGGCCUUGUUGUGUUCUUAUUCUCUUUCCCUGUCUCAUCAGGGUUGCAGGACACAAGUUUAUCUGUCAUAGACACACACUCUUUCUCUCUCUCUCUCUCUCUCUCUCACACACACACACACGUUCAGCAUGGCUGCUUUGCAGUGGAAACCUGUACUGCACAUCCACAGGUGUGGCAGGAGUCCCAUAUCAGAGCAUCUGUGCCGGAAAGACCUCAAUGAUGACCCAUUCUACCUUACCUGGCCUCUACACCCCUUGACUUCCCAGAUGAGGAAGCAGGUCCAGACAGGCCCAGACUGUUUGGCAGAAGAAGUCUAAGAGCCUCUGGAGUCUUAACUCCUUGGGUUCAAACCCUGAUCUGUCACAAGGUGUGUGACACUUUGGGCAAGUGACAUGACUUCCCAUCUCUCAGUGUUCUCAUCUGUAAAUGGGGAUAAUGAUACCUACAUCACAGGGUUGUUUUGAAGAUUGAAUGGGAUAAUCUAUGUGACGUGUUUAGCAUAGUCCUUGGCACAUAGUAAGUAUUUAAUGUUAGCUUUUAUUAUUACAUGCCAUAGAGCUGGUACUAGAACCUACGACCCCAAUCCUAAAACUCCACUCUUUGCCCCAGCACCAUGCUCUGUCUCUUGUCCGGACACCCGUCAAUGGACUUUCUAGGGAAAGUCAACAUUGGUGAUAAAGGCAGAGAAGGCCCACUGUACUCAGUAAUCGCAUUUGCUUCUUAGUCAGUCUGAACCUCAGUAAGUCUGAAGCCUCUAUGGUUUCCUCUUCACCUGGACCUACUUGUACCCCUGGGCACCUGCACACUCACAGAGUAGUUGCUCUUUAAGAAAUUGUCCCCAUUUUGGGAAGCUCUUUUAUUUCAGAACCAUACGCAAUGAGGCAUUGGUUUUGCCCAUGACCUUCUCUUCCUCUAUCAUUCCCAACCCCCCAUCAGGCCCUCCUCCCCGCUUGCUCUUGCCUCUUUGGCUGGUGCUGGGCCAAAGCCCAAAUUACUUCCCUGAGCCACUGCUCUGCCUUUUAUUUCAAGCUUAUGGGCUCAUGGAGACAGGGAGAGAAGAGGAGAGAAAAGAAAAGGUGGCUGUCUUAUUUGGGAUUUCUAUUUGCAGACCUUGAAGAAGGUAAUUUAAGACUGUUAGUCUUCUCAUUAAAAAAAGACAAAACCCAUUUUUCUUCAAUUUAGUUUGAGAGAUAGGGUGGUGGAAGAGAUAUAGGAGAAAAAAAGGAAGCCUGUCAAGAAUGGCGAUGGAUGGGGGUGGCCAGGCAAUCGAGCAGAAGGUGUUUGGAGGUCAUUCUGCAGUCGGCCCUGACAAGAGACUGGGUGCAGCGUCCUCUGGGUGCCAUGGGUUUUUAGUAAGCUGAGGGAUUUGUGGGGGCCUGGGCGCUACUGUCUGCAGUUUCCCUCCCUCUGCACGUCCCUCCCCUCCCAGCCAGGGCCCACUAGACUCCUAACACAGAACCUUCUCUCGAUCUGCAGCAGAGGGGCACGAUUCACUCACUCAAACCAAGGGGUCAGGGCCCCUGAAAGGAAAAUUGUAUUUUUUAAAAAGGACUUCAGGCAGAAGAUAGGACUUAACAAAGAAAAACGUAAUUCUAAUGGUAAAAUUUUAGCCAUUAUUGGUAGAGAAGAUAGAACCACAGAAUGUCAGGGUUAAGGGGAAACCUUGGGGCUCACUUAAUUCAAUCUUUUGCAGACAGAAUGAGGAAAUUUACCCAUCGGAGCUAAAACGCACAUCUUAAAAUGACUUCUCUAGAAGUCUGUAAUCGAUGGUUGCAGUUUUCUAUCCCCCACUAUUCAAGGCUCCAUCUCCUGUAAUAUCCCACCACACUUGGGUCCCUGUGCUGGGAGUGGCAAAGGCCCCAAAGAAACUUGGAGCCGGAUGCCUGGAUCUCAAAGCUAGCCUUGCCAUUUUACUGGCUGUGUGACCUUGGGCAAGUUACUUAACCUCUCUGUGCAGGUCACAUUUAUGGAACACUUUCGCGUGCCAGAUGCAGACCUAAGUGCUUUACGUGCAUUAUUCUGGUGCCUCUUUCCAAUACCCCUAUGAAGUAGGGCUAGUCCCAUUUUGCAAUAUAACCGAGGUUCACACAGGUUAAAUAACUUGUCCAAAGUCACACAGCAAGUAAAUGGCAAAGCCAGAGUUGAAUGAGGAAUCCCUGGCUCUGGCCUCAAGCUCUUACCCACUGUGCAGUACUCUCAGGACCAGGGAACCCAGGGCAAGGCAGGAAGGGGUGGGGGGCAGAGACUGAUGGUUUCCCUCAUACCCACUGUGCAGUACUCUCAGGACCAGAGAACCCAGGGCAAGGCAGGAAGGGGUGGGGGGCAGAGACUGAUGGUUUCCCUAAUAUUUGUUCUCCCCUUUUUCAUUGGGAAUAGAGCAUCUCCAUUUUAAUUGGGUACUUGGUCACCUGGAGCAAAAGACAUUUCCCAGCCUCUCUUCCGGCUAGGCAUAGCCAGGAUUCCCUGUUUGCCGGAGAGCGGUAUGUAAGCAGAAAUGGUAUAUGCGGCUUUUUAGAAGGAUCGUUUUUUGGUAUCUGUUUCAUGUUCAUUUACAAAGAAUGUACAUCCUGUCAUUGUAGAGUACAGAAUUCUGUAUGUGUCGAUUAGGUCAAAUUUGUUAAUUGCGCUUUUCACAUCUUCUGUAUCCUUACUGAUCUGGUGUCUGAUUGGUCUAUUGGCUAUUGAAAGAUGCCUGUUACAGGCUCUCCCUACAAGUGUGAAUUUGUCUAUACCUUAUUUAAGUCUCUUAAAUUUUGCUUCGUAUGUUUUGCAGAUAUUUUAUGGAGUACAAACAGAUUUGGAGUUAAGAUAUUAUUCUGGCGGAUUAAUCCCUUUAUCGCUAAUAAUGUCAUUAUCUGUCUUUUAACAGUUAGAAGUAUAUAUAUAUAUAUUUUUUCUGAGACAGAGUUUCAUUUCGCUCUUGUUGCCCAGGCUGGAGUGCAAUGGCGCAAUCUUGGCUCACCGCAAUCUCUGCCUCCCAGGUUCAAUCGAUUCUCUUGUCUCAGCUUCCCGAGUAGCUGGGAUUACAGGCAUGCACCAACACACCCGGCUAAUUUUUUGUAUUUUUAGUAGAAACGGGGUUUCUCUAUGUUGGUCAGGCUGGUCUCAAAGUCCUAACCUCAGGUGAUCCACCCGCCUCGGCCUCCCAAAGUGCUGGGAUUACAGGCAUGAGCCACCGCACCCAGCCAGAAGUAUCUUUAGAGUGGUGGGGGCAUGUCUCUCUUCACCCUUUCCUUCUUCCUGUUGGUUGGAAUGCUGAUGUUGUGGCUGGAGCUGAAGCAGCUCUAUUGAACCGUGAGCUGAAAACUAUGGGUUGAAAAGGAGUAACAAUUAGUUCAAAGAUUCUGGGUCUCAGAUGGUUUCAGAGCUGCCGUUCAUCCCUGAGCUGCUUACCUCCAGACUUAGUUUACAUUAGAGAACAACAAACUUGUAGCUUCUUUAAGCUACAUGUUUGUGCCAGGGGCACUGCAGUGGGGGCAAUAAGACCAGAGGCCCAUGGCAGGCAGUGGUCGCCGAGCUCUUCUGACUGUACACCCCCUCAAAUUUCUUAUUUAUAAUUUUUAUUCAUGUACUAUUGUCCAUUUAUAUAGCAGGUAUUCAUCAAAACUUCAUUUUGCAGUUUUGAAAGUUAAAAAAUAAUGAGGGAUAGGGAUUUCAGUAAGUUUUCCCUGUAUCCCAGUAUAUUGUCUGUUGCCACCUUGGAGACCACUGGUGCAGAGUGUGCAUGGAGUGGGUGAGAGCUGAAGGUUAGGUGGGGUCAGGUCAAGAGUGACCUUACAUGUGAAGCUCGGGGACUUGAAUUAAUGUCCUGAAAGUGAUGCUGACCCCAGGAAGGUGGUGCUUAAGUUCGAGAAAGAGAUGGUGGAGGAAUGGAGAUAGGGGACAGACACCUGACUGGCGCAGAGGGAGGCCCCAUCAGGCAGGCAGUGUGCUCCAGGAAGAGGCAGGAGAGGAAAGACCCCAGGAGUGGGCAGAGGAAGAAGCAGCCAGGUGGGAAGUUGAAACAGAGGCGGGGGUAGAAGGAGAACCAGGGGAGUGGGGGUCCAGGUAGCCAAGGAGGACAGGGUGGGCUGCAGUACUGCAUGCUUGCUAAGAGGUCCAAGCAAGGGCUCACCUUUGUCCAUGAAGGAUACAUGGGGAUCAUAGGGAUGCACCAUGAAGGGAGGGGAAACGGAGACCUGGAGGUGAAUAUUUUCAAAUGAGAAGGCUGGGAGGGAAGCAGCUAGAAGGUCAGGGAAAGGAAGUGCUUUUGUGUGAUGAGGGAGGGCGGCUCGGGCAUGCCUAGUGCACUGGGAAAGGCUCCAAAGCCUGCUUAACUCUGCUGCCUCCGGGGAAGGGGACAGGGCUGAAGGAAGGUGAGUGGAAGAGCUCCAGCCACCACUUCCAGCCCUCCUCCUGACUGUCCCAGUGGAUUCCCCUCUCUGGGACCUCAUUGUACCCCAAUUUCCUUUUCCCUGGAGAGUGAUAUAUCAGGGGAGGUAGGUGGGGGAACAUGGCAAUGGCUGCAGCUGCCCCUGGAGAGGAGAAAAGCAAACAUAAGCCACUUGAUGUGAGCUUAUCUGCCAGCGAAUGGAGGGGCCAGGGCUUUGGAUAAUCCCCCAAAUCAUUUUUCAUUGAGCUUUGAGUGUCUUAUGAUUGCUGGGAAGCCGACUGGCCUUCCUAAGUGGGUGUUAUUUCUGUUCAUAGCAGUUGGGAGCUGGGCUUGGGAACCAAUUGAAGGAAGUGUUCCUGAGGGGCACCAGCUAGACAGCAGGGGGCAGGCAAGGCAGAGACUCCCACUACGGGUGUAACCAAUGCUGGAUGCAGAAUCACGGACAAGCCUCUGAAGACAAAGGAGAGGGACCGUACCUCCCAGAUCCCUGGCCUCGCGACGCUGAUCUCUUCCUUGGCCUCUAAAAGGCACAUCUGUGUCCUCCCUUUGGCCCUUUGUUCAGGCUGUGGCCUGAAUCUGAAACCCCUGCUACUCUGUCCCAAUGCUCCAGGGCUCAGGGGGACUCUACCCCUCCCUGAAGGUGGCUAUUUCCACCUUCCCAGACCCCCAGGGCAAAGCCCAGCAUCCACGGACUGCAGCAGUUGGCCUGGGUGCUUCUCAGCAUCUUAUUUAACAGACUGACUGAUUUGGUUACCUUCCCGAGCUUGUGGACUGAGAUGGGGACAGCGGUGCCACACAGUGGGGUCCAGACCCUCUUUCUGGCUCUGCCCUUUACUUGCUGCCUGUGCUUGGCGAGGCAAGCUACUUCCCUCCCUGAGUGUUUGGUUUCCCACCUGCAGGGAAAAGCAGCGGCUCUCCUGCUUAGGUCUUAGAAUUACCUGGGGGACUCGUUAAAGUGAAGAUCUCAGGGCCCACCCCCAGAGUUUCUGAUUCAUUAGGUUUAGUGUGAGACCCUGAAGGAUUUGCUCCCAGGCAGGGUGACUGAUAAUCCCCAUUUGCCCGGGACAGAGGGAUUUCUUGGGAUACAGGAGUGCUGUUCAGGGUUAAACCUGGGCAAUCCUGGGAAACCAGGAUGGCUAGUCACUGCUCCCAGGUGCUGCUGGUCUUGGGACCACACUUUGCAUCAAUGUUCUCUAAGGUCCCUUCCAACUCUGAAAGUCCCUGUGCCUGCAGUAUAAGUACCCUUCACCUCUGAAACAGGCAUAACUGGGUGGGACAUGAGGGUGGGCCCGUCCUCUCAUGCAAAUUCACAUUUAGGACACAGUUCCUGUUGAAAUGAUAAAGAUCUCCCAGAUUGCCCGGCAAUGAGCCUCAAGGUGCCUUCCCCCCAGGAAGAGGUUCUGACUGUAGCACAAAGGUGGGAUUCAGGGGCAGCCAGCAGGUGCGGGGGCGGUGAAUGUCAUUGUCAGGAUCCAUGCCAUAGGACAUCUCAGAAAGGCAACCACAGAUGCCUUGAAGGUGAACUGAUGCAUUUUGGGGACUUUCAUCAGGGCUGGAUGUGUAAUGGCAUGGCUGUGAGACUUGAGGAUCAUUGUCCUCCUACUGCAUCCCCCCGCUCUCCCAAGCAGAUGAGGCUCAAAGCACAGAGAUGCAGGAUGUGUAGGAAGAGCCCAGCUGGCUGGCCAGAUGUGCUGGGAGUCCUGGUGAGCAGGGCAGGCUCCAGCCGGGGCCAGUGCCCAGGAGCACAGGGUACCACAGGUGUUGGCUGGUGGGCAAGACCAAGUCCUUUAAUAGUGAUGGGGAGCAAGGGGUGGGAGCUGGCUGUAUAGAUCAUACAUAAACACAUGGCGUUUUGAGGCCCUGGGUGAGCUGCAUCCUUCACUCCCUCAACAAACAUGUAUUGAGUGCCUGCUAUGUGCUAUGUGCUGGUACUUGGAACAACUGGACUUGCUCCUUCAGGAGGUCACAGCAGUCGUGAGGGUGGGGCACAUGCAUGCAAACAACUUCCAGACACUGGAGAGCACUUUCAGAGAUGCUGGCCCGUCCUGAUGGGAGCGCAGAGGGACAGGCAUUGAUUCUGCCAGACGAGGGUGGUGGGGGUGGAUGGCAAAAGAAAGGGGCAUUUAAUUUGGUCCUUAAAAACAGGCAGGGUUUCUGCGGGCAGAAAAGGAGGGAGGGCUGCCCAGGGAGAGGGGACAGUGUGAGCAAAGGCCUGGCGGCAUGGCUGGGCAGGGUGGGCCGGCGGGGGCAGGAAGGGCUGGGAAGCCAUGUCUGGGCCUGGAACAAACUUGGCCUCACUAAGUUGUGACUUUCCGCUUUCCCCCACAUUCUCUACUCCUGGGAUCUCACCAACCUCUUAUUCUUUGUCUGCUCCCAUUAGCAAAAGCUGAGGUUGGGAGGGACCUGACUCUCCGUUCCCUAAGGGAAGAGCACCCCAUACCAGGGGAGGGCUUUUGGGGCGCCUGAUGUUUCUGAAAACAAACAAGCAAACAAACAAAACUGGCAUAUUUCACUUAACAUAACGUCCUCCAGGUUCAUCCACAUGUCACAGACAACAAGAUUCCCUUCUUUUAUAAGGCUAAAUAGCAUUCCAUUGUAUAUAUAUGCCACAUUUUCUUUACCCGUUCAUCCCCUGAUGGCCGCUUAAGUUGAUUCUGUAUCUUGGCUAUUGUGAACAGUAAUGAAAUGAACAUGGAAUGCAGAUAGCUCUUCAACAUACUAAUUUCAUUUCCUUUGGAUAAAUACACAGUAGCAUCUUAUGUUAAGUGAAAUAAGCCAGGCACAGAAAGACAAAUACCACAUGAUCUCACUCAUACGUGGAAUCUAAAAAGUUGAUCCCAUAGAAAUAGAGUGUAGAAUGGUGGUGGGGGGAAGUGGGGAGGGGAAGAGAUGUUGGUUAAAGGGUAUAAAAUUUCAGUUGGACAGGAGGAAUAAGCUCAAGAGAUCUAUUGCAUGUCGGGACUCUGUAUGGUUAAUAACAUUGUAUUUUUUUUUUUAUACUUUAAGUUCUAGGGUACAUGUGCACAACGUGCAGGUUUGUUACAUACGUAUACAUGUGCCAUGUUGGUGUGCUGCACCCACCAACUAGUCAUCUACAUUAUGUAUAUCUCCUAAUGCUAUCCCUUCCCAUGACAGGCCCCGGUGUGUGAAGCUCCCCACCCUGUGUCCAAGUGUUCUCAUUGUUCA
rnacentral:lncRNA from 1 species